GAUUAUAGCUCACUGGUAAAGCAGUUGCCUAGCAUGCAUCAGGCCUUGGGUUCAAUCCUCAGUACCAUCA
rnacentral:tRNA from 1 species